UGGGGGAUAUUGCACAAUGGGCGAAAGCCUGAUGCAGCGACGCCGCGUGGGGGAUGAAGGCCUUCGGGUUGUAAACUUCUUUUGCUCUGAACAAGGCGCACCAUGGGGUGUGUUGAGUGUAGGGGUUGAUUAGCGCCGGCUAACUACGUGCCAGCAGCCGCGGUAAUACGUAGGGCGCGAGCGUUGUCCGGACUUAUUGGGGGGAAAGGGCUUGUAGGUGGCUGGUUGCGUCUGUCGUGAAAGCUCAUGGCUUAACUGUGGGUUUGCGGUGGGUACGGGCUGGCGUGAGUGCAGUAGGGGAGGCUGGAAUUCCUGGUGUAGCGGUGGAAUGCGCAGAUAUCAGGAGGAAUACCGGUAGCGAAGGCGGGUCUCUGGGCUGUUACUGACACUGAGGAGCGAAAGCAUGGGGAGCGAACAGG
rnacentral:rRNA from 1 species